GCCAAGAAAAUCCCAAAUGGGGUUAUGAAGAACCUGAUACGAGUGAAAAAACAAGUGUAUAUUGACUGCUCGCCUGCCUACAUACUACUUUCUCAAGAUUUGAUCAGGUCUGAGCAGUGAGCUCCGCCCAUAAUAAAUGACGUUUUCCGGAAAGGCGUAGUAUUGGGAAGAGAAGCGAGAUUGGUUCUCACGGACGCCACCGCCCCGUUUCCGCCGCCGCCGCAGUUUCUUCAGCCUUGGCUGCUGCUGGACAGACGCUGCUUAAGAAUCGGGAGAAGAAAAUUCCUUUACAACACAGUACCUGAAGGGAUGUUGCAGAAUCUCUGGAUAAAGUACUUCUCCUACCUGGACACAGUGUACGUAAUAAAUGUACAUACCUUUCAGAUGCCAUCGCAGAAAUCCUGAUGUCUCCUUGACUGGGUUUCCCCAACCUCCUUUGCCACUCACACAAUUCUGCUGACUACAUUUUUAAUGUCCCUCAUCAACUCAUAGAUGUUUGCUUGGUGUGUGUCUAAUAUAUGCACAUUUAACAUAUGUACGUAUAGUAAAAGUAUUGAUAAAAAUUAGCUUGAUUUAAUCCUUAAAAUUUCUCAGUUCUCUGGGAAUCUUUGGAGAAAAAUGACUUCACCCAUUUGGACCAGCUGUUAUGUUUUGUUUUUUCUUAAACUUGUGCCUAGGCUAACAACUAGCAGUUAAAGUUCAACAAUUGUCAAUAAUUUAUAGUUUUGUAAUUUUCUUCCACCUUUUCCUUUGGAAGAAGGGUGUUCAGAAGAGGAUGAGUAGUAAGUAGCUCACCACUCUUUGGGUAGGAGAAGUAAAAACUGGGAAAAACUAUAACCUAAAACUGAAAAUAGUCUCACUUGAGAUUUCUUUUAAUUUGUACUGAGGCCCAAGAUGUGCACUACUUCUACUUUGGAGCCUUUGGAAUAAUCCAUUGUUUUUUUAAAU